UGGUGGCGACCGGCGCACGGGUGCGUAACGCGUAUGCAACCUACCUUUAACAGGGGGAUAACACUGAGAAAUUGGUACUAAUACCCCAUAAUAUCAUAGAAGGCAUCUUUUAUGGUUGAAAAUUCCGAUGGUUAGAGACGGGCAUGCGUUCCAUUAGAUAGUAGGCGGGGUAACGGCCCACCUAGUCUUCGAUGGAUAGGGGUUCUGAGAGGAAGGUCCCCCACAUUGGAACUGAGACACGGUCCAA
rnacentral:rRNA from 1 species